GCCCGCAGCUGGCAGGGAGCGAGCUGCCCGGGCUGGGCUCCAGCGUGGUGCCACAAGCCCUCUGGCCAGCCUGGGCACGACCCGGGGGUCCGCGGCCCAAAGCCCACGGAACUGUCGCGGGUGGAAGAGACCUCAAAGCUGCGGGAGCCCAGCCCUGAGCAUGCCGCAGCCUGCCUGCUCCCGGCAGGGGUGAACCCAGCCUGGGCUGCUGCUGCUGCUGCCUCCGGAGCUGACCAGCCCAGAGCCCGUGCCCGCAGGUGCCCCUGGGCAGCAGCAGGGUGCUCCUUGCCAGGCUGCUCUGCGGGAUGACACCGAGCUGCGGGACAAUGGCAAUGCUUCGCUGGCACCACCCCGGCAAGGGGCACAGCCUGUGGCGAGAGGCACAGCAGGGAGCAGUGCAGGGGCCCCGAGUGCCAUGGAGGUGCUGCUGGCUGCCAGGUGCCAGCUGCAGCAGGCGCUGAAGGCAGGGCAGAGCUGGGCAGGGCGCAGCUGAUGGAUGAGUUCCAUCAGGUGCUACAACAAUCCAGAACAUUCUGCAGCAGCCCCCGGGGUGCUCUGCAGAUCAAAGGUGCUAUUUCACCGUCCUGCUCUGCCACCUUCCCCUGGCAGCUCAGCCCUGAGGGGCUCCUUCGGACAAAGCCCAGCCCAGAGCUCAGCACUCAACAGCGAGGGGCAGGGGAGACCCCCCCGGAAAGGGCAAGAGCCGAACUGCAGCCCUGCCCUGCCUGCCGAGGAGCUGCUGCCUGCAGAAGCCACCAGAAGCAAGCCUGAAAACAGCAGGGGAGGCAAUGCCAGCCCCAGGGCAGGGGGUGGGUACCACCAGCAGCCCCCUCGGGCCCGCAGCUGAGACGCAUUGCAUGCCCACCCAGGGCCCCAGCAGCGAGGCACAAACCUGCUCCACCUAACAGUCA